AUCCAACUGACGAGUCCCAAAUAGGAAGAAACACGCAUCCUGAAU
rfam:Schistosoma mattheei strain Denwood, Zambia genome assembly, scaffold: SMTD_scaffold0001199